ACCCCAGUAGUGGAGUUGGCUAAGCGUUUGCCGUGAAACCUGAAGGCCUAGGGUUCGAUCCCCUGGUGGGAUC
rnacentral:tRNA from 1 species